CAAGAAGAGGGAGAGUCCUCAGAGAGUCCUCUCUCUCGGCAUGGACACAAAAGAAAAGCCAUGUGAGGACACAGAGAGAAGGUGGCUGUCUACGAGCUAGGAAGAAAGGCCUCACCGGAAACCAACCCUCACAGCAGCUCCAUCUUGGACUUCCAGCCUCCGGAACUGUGAGAAAAUAAAUGUUUGCAAUUCAGGGAGCUCCACCCAGCAGCAGCGUUUGACAGAGCUGUUCACUUCCUCUUCCUGGAGCUGUGGCUUCCAGAGCCCAUGCUCAGCAGUUCCCCUCCUUCUUCGACUGCUCCUCUCUUAGGCUCAGAGCCACUCAGACAUUGGGAAGCAAGUUUGUCAAGAUGACAGAGAACCGAGGUAAUGGAUUCGAGUGAUGAAACAGGAAGUUCAUUCAUGAGUUUUUGGCCACACCUCCAAAGUGACGACUUAGCCAGAAAUGGGAUAACUGGGUUUCCCUACUUCUCUUUUAUCAUCCUCAAUGAGAGUGACCAAAUAUUAGAGCUAGAUGGAACCUUAGUGAAAAUCUGGCUACUCGUCCCGUCCCACCAGCCUGCCACCCAUUUCAAGUUUGAAGAGACAAAGACACAUGGACCUUAUGUAAUUACUGGGGAUUACCCCAGGAGUCUGUGGCAAAAGUCAGCUUCUUCCCUCCCUGCUUCCCCGCCCUGUCUCUGGUACUUUCUACCAACACUGGGCUGUUUCUGUGAUCACACUUAAGCGUACCUAACCUGCGAAUGCUGUAUAGAAGGUGCUAAUGAACAUGAUUUAGCUUUAACACUCAGUUUUCUAAAGGGACACGUGGGGGCAGCAAAUGUUUAGGCAAAAACAAUUCCAGUUCUAGCCUCUACUGUCUACAUAUGUGUAUACAUUUGGGAAACGUUUGGGAAAGGGAUAUUUGAGAGCUUCUUUUUCUUUUUUGUGGUUUAGUUAUUUGAUGAUAUUGAGAUUGUUUCUGAGCCAUGUGCUUCAACAUCGGAUUGGGGAUUUCAGAAAAAGUUUUAGUCACUGUGAUUCCAUUUAGCUUCCAAAUGUGUCUCUGCUAAGAGACUUAAAAGCACUCAUAAAUAGCACGUGUGUCUUCUUUGCAGUGUUUGCUAAUUUUGAGUCACAUCUUUUUAGAAAAUCAUGAGAUUUGGUGUCACAGAGACUGGAAUAAAUAUAGUCAAACUUAUUGGUGAAGAUUUCCUUUAGCUGUUUUCAUAAUCCAUUUCCAUUGUUAUGAUUAUUGAUGAAUAAAACAUUUUCUUUAGGUAGAUACUUCUUUUUUCCCCCCACCUUGAUUUAAUGUUUCCACUCUUAUUGUCAAGUUUCUUAUUACUCCCUAAUAACUCUCAAUAAAAUAAUGAUUCCUGG
ensembl:lncRNA LINC00518 long intergenic non-protein coding RNA 518